UCCGGUUUGGCACCGGCAGUCUCCCUAGAGUCCCCGCCAUGACGCGCUGGUAACUAGGGACGGGGGUUGCGCUCGUUGCGGGACUUAACCCAACAUCUCACGACACGAGCUGACGACAGCCAUGCAGCACCUGUCCUACAGUCCCGAAGGAGGCCCCUGGUUUCUCAGAGGUUUCCGUAGGAUGUCAAGCCCAGGUAAGGUUCUUCGCGUUGCGUCGAAUUAAACCACAUGCUCCACCGCUUGUGCGGGCCCCCGUCAAUUCCUUUGAGUUUCAGCCUUGCGGCCGUACUCCCCAGGCGGGGCACUUAAUGCGUUAGCGCCGGCACCCUAAGGGGUCGCUCCCCCAGGCACCUAGUGCCCAUCGUUUACGGCGUGGACUAC
rnacentral:misc_RNA from 1 species